rnacentral:rRNA from 1 species
AUUGAACGCUGGCGGCAGGCCUAACACAUUCAAGUCGCACGAGUGGCGUCCGGGUGAGUAAUGUCUUGGAAACUGCCUGAUGGAGGGGGAUACCUACUGGAAACGGUAUCUAAUCCCGCAUACCAUCAGAUGUGCCCAGAUGGGAUUAGCUUGUUGGUGGGGUAACGGCUCACCAAGGCGACAAUCCCUCGCUGGUCUGAGAGGAUGACCAGCCACACUGGAACUGAGACACGGGCCAGACUCCUACGGGAGGCAGCAGUGGGGAAUAUGGCACAAUGGGCGCAAGCCUGAUGCAGCCAUGCCGCGUGUAUGAAGAAGGCCUUCGGGGUGUAAAGUACUUUCAGCGGGGAGGCGUUACCCGAAGAAGAAGCACCGGCUAACUCCGUGCCAGCAGCCGCGGUAAUAC